GCCGGCGUGGCGGAAUGGCAGACGCGGCAGACUCAAAAUCUGUUGAUGGCGACAUCGUGCGGGUUCAAGUCCCGCCGCCGGCA
rnacentral:tRNA from 3 species